AACAAAGAAGAAGAAGAGAAGAGAAGAAGAGAGUCGGCAGCUGCACAUUACCGGAGGAGGUUGCAUGUCAGAGCUAACAGGAGAAUAGUCAAACAAUAGCGUGGAUGCAGAGUUUACGUUCCUGUUAUGGACUGUUUUACCCUGUGAUGAGUUGGUGAGCUGUGGUUUAUCAGAGAUCAGCUGUGGUUAUCUGGCAUUGGCGCUAAAGUCCAACCCUUCCCAUUUGAGAGAGCUGGACCUGAGCCUGAACAACCUGCAUGAUUCAGGAGUGAAGCAGCUGUGUGGUUUUCUGGAGAGUCCAGUAUGUGGACUUGAAACUCUGAGUGCUCAUGAAUAAUGUUCAACAAAACAUUUCUGGGAGAAGAUUAUGCACACUUCUUGAGGGAAUUUAUCAAUCACUGAUGGAGAUGUCAACUGAGCUAACACUUGAGCAGAAGCUGAAGCACA